rnacentral:lncRNA from 1 species
CAGCAAGCUGGUUUGACCAGAAACAGAACUGCCUAUGACAGAUUAAGAGACAAGCAAGGCUUGGAAUCUGAGAGCAAGCAGAGUGGAAAUUUACUGCAGCUCUCUGUGAGUGUUCAAGUGAUCUUUUCUGCUAACGUUUUCCGGUGGUAACUGUUACUCCUCAGAGUCAGAAAGUCAAGACGGAAUUGUGCUAAGUCUUUCUCUGGCACAUGUGAGUAGGAGGAGGCAUCCUUUAUUAAAUGGAAGAUAAAGGCUACUUCAUCUAAAGUGUUUUGAACUUGAGAAAAGAGCUGUUUUCAGCACCUCACCAUGGGUCUGCUUAUUGUUGCUUAAACAAGCUGGGAGUUUCAUUAGCCCGGGCAUUCCAUAUUGGAAGAAGAGAUUUUUAUAGAUGAAAAAAAUGCCUUUGUUU